ACCCGGCUGUCCCUCCAGCUGCGGCCGGAGUGGGGACUCCGCUCGGCCCCGGCCGCGGGCUGUCAGCGGCCAGCGGGGGCAGGGCCGCUCCUCUCGGCUGGAAUUUUCCUCUCCCCGAGCGAACCGUCCCGGCGGCCGCCUCGGGCUCAGCCCUUUCCCAUUCCAGCCACCAGGGCGCGAGGCAAAAUCCCCACAGGUGGGGAAAGCCAGGCGCGGAGCCCGGGGCCGGGAUGCGGUCGGACCCCGCGGUGGGGUCCGGCACCCUCAGGAAAUCCGUUCUGCCCGGCCAUCGGGGCUGGGCCGCCCUGUGCCCGCUGCCGAGCGCGCCGGGACGCGGCUGAGCCCCACCGUGUCACGGGUGACGAGCUCCCGGGGUCAGGGGUGAUUUCAGCCUGAUCUGCGUUUGCUCGCCGAGCAUGACGGCACCUCAGCUUUUGUAUGCUGAGCAGAUCGGGCACUAAUGCGCUGUGUACCUGUGUCAGCACAGAGCGCCGUUCCUGCUCUGCCGUGGGACCAGAUGAUAUUGCACAGUACAUACAACUCUUUAUACAGGAGACUAAGCCUGAAGCCACCUGUUUCGAGAGACCCUAGAGGUUGUUCACACCCUGAAUAACCACAUGCCAUUAUCAGGCACACCUCAUUAAUCUGUGUAUGUUUCUUAAACCAAAAACUUAAUCACUGUCCAUGUUCUAGUCUCACACUCCUCAAAUUGUUUGGCCACUUCUGCUUGAGAUCGCUCAAAGAAUGACCAGCAAAGGCGAAGGAUCGGGCCUUGAGGAGAGGAUAUCAGCCCAGGAGACGCCGUGGUUCAGUGAUCCUCCAGGUAUAGCAAACCUCAG